rnacentral:rRNA from 1 species
UACGGAGGGGGCUAGCGUUGUUCGGAAUUACUGGGCGUAAAGCGCACGUAGGCGGCUUUGCAAGUCAGAGGUGAAAGCCCGGGGCUCAACUCCGGAAUUGCCUUUAAGACUGCAUCGCUAGAAUUGUGGAGAGGUAAGUGGAAUUCCGAGUGUAGAGGUGAAAUUCGUAGAUAUUCGGAAGAACACCAGUGGCGAAGGCGACUUACUGGACACAUAUUGACGCUGAGGUGCGAAAGCGUGGGGAGCAAACAGG